UUAGGUUUCUUAAAUAAAAAGACCGAUUGAGUAAGAGUGGGGUUUCUUAGAAAAAAUAUCAGAAACCAUAACAUACAAAAAUAUGGUUCCUUAUACAUAAUGGAUUUUAGGUGGAAAUCAAAGAUACCAAUCUUGUAUGAAAAUUGGUCUCUUAUUAGUUUAAAUAGUAAAUAUUAAAAAAAUUAAAAGUAAAAAAUGUCAGUUCACUCGCUUCGUCUUCCUUUUCCAGUUCCUCAAUUGCGCUCAUUUCCUUCUCAGUCAUCACAAAUCACAGUCAGAAUGCUCGAAUCACCGCCACCAGAAACACCAUCAAUACCACCGCAUCCACCACAAUCACCAAAAUGACCACCAAACGAAUCGCAGCAAUCAGAAACUCAAUACCCUAACCCUAACCCUAACUCUGAAUCUAAAAACCCAUCUCAAAAUCCUCAACCUUCAACCCCAGAAACUCUAAAUCCACCUCCAGAAAACCCGAUUAAUGAACAAAUUGAGUCCGAAGAAAACCCCCAUGUUGUGGUUGAAGAGGAUCAAGAGCAGCAGGAUGAGCCCGACUCAGAACUCGAACCCGAACCCGAACCAGAAACCAAGCACCCAGAAUCAGAAGCGAGAUCACGAGUUUUUUUUAUCAAAUUGAUCGACGGUGAUGGUGAGAUGGUUGAGAAUCGUGAGAAUACAAGUUUUAACUAUUGCCGAAGAAUGCGGCGAAGGUUGAGGCAAAGGUGGGCGAUACAUUCUCUGUUGUGAAGGAGUUUGUUUCAAGGGCGGUGAUAUAUGAACGUCCCUGAGCUUGGUACGGUGAUACAAAGAUAUUAAUUGAAUGUCAGGGGUCUAUUUUGGAACGAAAGUACCAAAAACACUCAUAGUACAAAACUAAAAAUUUCCUAAAUCCUCCAUAUUUUGUAGGGGACCUUUUUUGUAAUCUAAGGAUCAAUUUGUAAUCUAAGGAUCAAUUUUUAUCCCAAUAUGAUAUAAUUUUUUUGUU